rnacentral:lncRNA from 7 species
GCCCUGUUCACUGCUAGCAGUCUACUAGAACUAGAUCAAGAUCUCUCUCCCCCUUUCUCUCUCUCUCUCGUCACCUUCUACCCGGCUACGAGCUAAGGAGUAGUCGUAGCAGUAGCACUGCUUUCUCUCUCGCCCGUCGCUACUCGCUACUACUACUAUUUGCCUAUAUAUGCCUUUAAUUUGCUGCUCCUAGUAUAUGCGCGUACGGUCAUCGCUCCUAGCUCCUAUGCCUUCUAUCGUCCCUCUCUCGGUCUCUGACUCUCCGUCUCCUCUCUCGCAACGCAAGUCUGUCUGUUUACAGUGAAAGUCUCUCUCUUUCUCCCGUCCUCUCCCCUUCCGGCCGGUCUCUGUUCACCUGUCCAUCGGCCUGCGUAGAGAGAGAACACAGCGACGACGGAGGUCUC